rnacentral:lncRNA from 1 species
GUAUAAAUAGUGCCUUGUACUCGGGGCAUUAUGCAUGGAAGUAUACGAGUAAGUUAUGAAGACGUAUGACAAUCAGAGCUGGCCUUGAAAAAUUCGAGGCCCUAGGUGACUAUGUUAUGUAUCAGGAGGCCCCAUCCACUUGGCAAAGUGCAAACCAACACCUAAAACUCCCCCACCUAACCCCCUUUCACUCUACUCGUACUAAGUGGCGUGCUAUGUUAGUAAAUAUGGCAUUGGUAAGAGCUCCUAAGUCCUAAGCACGUGAGAAUCUAUCUGACAAAUUGAAAAAAUUGAUUUGGCAAGGUUUCCCACUUCUCUCUCUCUCUCUCUAACUUCUUCUUUCUGUAUCUCAUAGACAUACAAAAUACAAAUGCACUCCUAUAUUGGCUACAAUAAUCGGCAAUUUCGGAAGCAAUGAUCUUCUCCUGGCUGUAAUAAUGGUGCUAGCUCCGUCGCUACUUGUUAGUUGUUAGAGAGUGAAUCAACAGAAAGCCAGAAACCUUCCUACCUUCUUCACCAUUCACCAUGUUUUCUGCCACUGUUUGGAGACCAUCCAAAAUUUGAGGCCCUAGGCGUUUGCCUUGGUCGCUUGGCCUCAGGGCCGGCUCUGAUGACAACUAAUUGUUUUUUCCUUUUUGUGGUCUUCAUUUGUGACUUUCUUUGAUCUUGGCAAAGAUGUUCUCAAGUGAUACUAGUUGAAAAUUGCAUGAUAUUGAUCAUUUUUUACCAAUAAUUUUAACAUAGGAUAAACAUAUUUUGUCGUAUUUAAACCUCAUUUCUUAAAAUUUCAUUUUUGUUUUCCAACUCACUUUUAAUUAUACACAAUCUCAGUAAAAUAAUUUAACAUGUAAAUUUAAAAACUUUUCUUACCUUUUAACAAUACACUUUACAAAAAAUCACUGUUAUAAAUUCUAUCUUUCCAAAAAAGGGGCUAAAACAAAAAAAUUAUUACGUAAAAUAGAUACUCACCUUAAAAUUAACUUCAAAUGAACGUGAUAUUAAGGCCAAAAUUGAUUUGCUAUAACUUGAAAAAUGUUGAAAUAUUGGAAUAAAAAAUUGAUGAAAAUGUAAAGUUAAUU